ensembl:misc_RNA Metazoa_SRP Metazoan signal recognition particle RNA
GCCAGGUGUGGUGGCAUGCACCUGUAGUCCCAGCUACUCAGGAGGCUGAGGUGGGAGGAUUGCUUGAGUCCAGGAGUUCUGGGCUGCAAUGCGCUGUGCCAAUCGGGUGUCCACACUAAGUUCAGCAUUAAUAUGGUGCCCCCCCGAGAGUGGGGUACCACCAGGUUGCCUAAGGAGGGGUGAACCAGCCUAGGUCAGAAAUGGAGCAGGUCAUAUUUGCAAGACUUAAGCAGCUAGUUGAGUUUGGAAAAUAUUCUGCUAAAAUUUUCAAUGUGAAUUUUCUGGCGGGUUAUUUAGUUUUGCUUCUU